CUAGCACAUCUUGCAUCCGCGACUUAGACCGCGACUCGAGUCGCCAUUCCCGCAGCUGUCAAAUCUGUCGAUUUCCGUAGCAUAACUUGUACCCGCGACUGCAACAGCCGCGUAGAGAACUCAAAGUCGCGGCGCGACUCGUCAGUGUUACCCGGCGAAAUCAAAGUCUAAACAAAUCGAUAUUUGCAAGUGGCAACACUGAAUCGGAAACCAGGGAUGCGCUAAAUCAUUCGUUCUUUGGUGGUAAAAAAUCUGGUUUUUUGUCGAUGGUUAAGUUUUUCCUGUCAAAGUCAAGGAACUUCCAAAUUUUGUCAACAUUUAAUUACAGGAAAAAUAUGAAAAAAAUAAUAAGUUCAGCAUUAUCCUAGAGUUCCUAGACACGAUUGAUAUCCCAGCACCCAAAGGAAAAUAUUGUUAACAGGAACGUGCCAACGGGACCCGAAGUGGAGAGUCAGGAAAAGAAACACACUAGGCAAGCUUGGUGAUAUUUAAUUGUCCUACGCCGCAUGUCGAAGAAAAAGGAAGAGAGAAAAUACUUUUCAAGGGUAAUAAAGAAGAUUCUUACAAUUUCUCUAUUGUGGUUCUAGAUGUUAAUAUAUAUUAGGUUUAAUAAUAAGAAGUCUAAUAUUGCAAGAAUAUAUAAGGCAAAGCAAUAUACUAUUAAUUUAAAUAUUGUUUUUUUUUUCUCUCCUGUAUUUUUACCUGAAAAGAAACAAAAAUAAAGUAGGUAGGUACCUAGAACUUCUAGAAGCCAUGAUUAGCUCCCCAAGGCCCACUUCAUACCUAAUGCUGACAACAACGUAUCAUAGCAAUGAUCGUAUCAGGCCCUGUCAAACAUGAAGUGAAACAUCUAGAACACGGGUAUGAUCUAGAGGAGUUUCAAUAUGGUAGACCAUAUGAUAACCGUACCUAUGCUACGCAGACUAUGACAUGAGCGUAACGACUCCUUCAAAAUAUUGUUGGUCGGCUCGGUCCAGUCACGUCACGGUAUGGUGUUGGCAGGGGAUGGAAUGGUUUAGUGGGUGAUAGUGAAUAGA